GGGCCCGCACAAGCGGUGGAGCAUGUGGUUUAAUUCGAUGAUACGCGAGGAACCUUACCAGGGCUUAAAUGCAGAACGACAGAGGUGGAAACACCUCCUUCUUCGGACGGUCUGCAAGGUGCUGCAUGGUUGUCGUCAGCUCGUGCUGUGAAGUGUCGGGUUAAGUCCCGCAACGAGCGCAACCCACGUCGUUAGUUGCCAGCAUUUAGUUGGGCACUCUAGCGAGACCGCCGGUGAUAAACCGGAGGAAGGUGUGGAUGACGUCAAGUCAUCAUGCCCCUUACAUCCUGGGCUACACACGUACUACAAUGCUACGGACAAAGGGCAGCAAACUCGCGAGGACAAGCA
rnacentral:rRNA from 1 species